AUAAGUUUGAAUAUGGUAUAUUCAAAAUGUUCAAAAUACUAAAGGCAAGUAAAAGAUUUCUGUACUUUCAAAUUUCAUGAUUUAUACAAACCUCUUGUGAAUCUGAGGGUCUGAUAACUUUUCAUAUCUGGGAUUGUCUAUAUUCCUAGCACAAAAGAAUGUGGUGUCAAAGAUUUGCCAUAUAACAGGGCAGAGAACUUAGAACUGUGUAUAUCUUUUGAAGACGUUAGUUAAAGAUUACAAGAAACUAUCCUUGUUUUAAAUAAGCCAGCUAUCAGUGUGUUAUUUACUGAUCCUGAGACUACAAAUGGAGCUAAACGAUUCAAGGUGCUGAUACGGAAUCUGCAAAUACACAAACUCUCUUGCAGGGAUGCUUUUGGUCUUUGGGCAGAUUCAUAACUUUGGUACCGAAUGCCAUUCUUCCGGUGAUGGUUGAGUGUUUUUGAAGCGUGGCCUCAUUUGACUGGCAGCAGACACUAAAGAUCCUAAAAAUGGUUGCUUCCUAGGCCUCAUGAAGAAGGGACAACUGCAGGCUGAGCCAUGAGUUCACCCAAGCAAAAUAAUUCCCCCUAUUUGUGCCCUUGCAUCCAGCAUGUUCAUGCUUGUUUGUUAACGAUACCUCUUGGAAAGAAAAUCAGUAAACUGUGGCAUAUAAUUACGAGUCUCCAAAAUGGCGUUUCCCCAAAAGGAGGCAAAAGGAAGUCUUCUGUUUGAAACCCUUGAGAGCCACAGCCCGUCAGGGUAGACAGUACUGGGCUAGAUGGACCCUGGUCUGAUUCCUGUUCCAAAAAUGAAUGGGCGUCAUGAGCACUAGCAGCAGGGGUGUCUACCACAGAGAAAGCCGCAGUGGUUAGGCCAUUGAACCAGGAUCCCAAUCCCUGCUCAGCCACAAAGCUCAGAUCUCUCAGGCUCUCUCUCAGCCUAACCUACCUGAAAGGAGGAUGAAACAGAGCUGGGUGAGAACCAUAAGUCUCUCCAUAUGACAUCAUAGGGUGGGAUAAAAAAAUAGUGGUCAAAAUAAGGAGCAAGGUCAAGUGGUCCUUGUCUCCAGGUGAUGCAGGCCUCUGUAAAGGUAAAGGGACCCCUGACCAUUAGGUCCAGUGGUGACCAACUCUGGGGUUGCGGCGCUCAUCUCGCUUUAUUGGCCGAGGGAGUCGGCGUACAGCUUCCGGGUCAUGUGGCCAGCAUGACUAAGCCGCUUCUGGCGAACCAGAGCAGAGCACGGAAACGCCGUUUACCUUCCUGCCAGAGCGGGACCUAUUUAUCUACUUGCACUUUGACGUGCUUUCGAACUGCUAGGUUGGCAGGAGCAGGGACCGAGCAAUGGGAGCUCACCCUGUUGCGGGGAUCCGAACCGUUGACCUUCUGAUAGGCAAGUCCUAUGCUCUGUGGUUUAACCCACAGCGCCACCCGCGUCCCUGUAGGCCUCUGUAGUUAGGACUAAAACCCUUCUGUGCUCAUUCUUGAUACCUGUUUCUUCCCCAUGCAGUCAGUGUUUCUCAAACCUAGGGGCCCAGCUCUUGUUGGACUACAACUCCCAGCAUCGCUAGCUAGCAGGACCGGUGGUCAGGGAUGAUUGGAGUUGUAGUCCAACAACAGCUGGGGACUAAAGUUUGGGAAACACUGUACACUAUGUGGUGUUAACUGGGUUUGAGCUGUCCACUCCAAGGAGAUUUAUGAACAAUUCUGAUGCACACCUGGAACUCUGCAAGGGGGAAGGCAGCUUGGAGGAGCGGCAAUGGAAGUGUGGUUGGCAGGGUCCUGGCUCAGGGUCCUUGUUCCUUGGAUGUUUCUCUGCUUCAGAUUACCCACUCUCUGAGCUGCUUCCCCCCUACAAGAACGGGUUGUCAGGAGUUUAUUAUAUACAUGCCAUGCGUGACGUCACUCAUUUUCAUGGGAAUUGUAUUGUUUCUGCAUUUUUGAAGGACCUGUGCACAGUUCUCCUCAUUUGGAACAGAGCAAGCCCACAGCUCCUGUGCCUGUAACUUGUGCGCAUUCAGCUUUAUGUGUAUGGCAACUGGCUUACCUCUCAAGAGUUACAAUCCACAGCCGCCAUUAAUGAACUACCGUGCCCAGAAUUCUUGGGAGGGGGAAACUGUGCUUCCCAUGUGCUUUAAAGGCCUGGUGUGUGCACAGCUGUACACCUUUGUGCUUCUGGGCUGCUUGUGUACAUUACUCAUUAAACACUCCACUGUCUGCUAUAUGGUGCUUUUCAAUUUUUAUUUCGGAUAUCUGAGCUGGGUUUUUUUGUUUUAGUGUGCCUGCAUGUCAAAAGGUUUAUUAUUUCCUUUUAGGUUGGUGAAAGCAUGUCACAUAUCAAACUACACCUCCAGAAGACCAGAACAAAUACACAGGUCAUUUCUGUUCCUGUGAUGACCAACCACCUACUUUUGGGGAAAACUGGGUGUGUGAGUUGUUCUGCUUAUGAAAUCAUAUCCUGCUUAAGCUCUUUUGCUACAGCUUUUCUUUUUCCCUUUUUCUUUUAAAAAGAAGAAUUAUAUUUGUCCUUCAUGACCCUCCACCUGAUUGUUCAUUUACCGCUGUAUGAUCUGCUGAAUGCUCAGCAGCAGUUUUCAACAGUUUUCACUUAUGGUGCUCAACAGGUACAUUAAUGCAGAAUAGUCCAUAAUGUCAUGCAGAGAUCCUUGGGGAUCCUGCAGUUUAUUUCCUUUUAUUGCAGGAAAUAAGCCAUUGUCAAGCCCAAAUCAAAAUGUCAGAAUUGUGGCUGCCCCUAUUCUUGAAUGGAACUUGGUUUUGUUUUCAUUUUUAAUGGAACAGAAAAAGAGAUUUGAGGCUGGUUGCCCUCCUGCUUGGAAAUCUGCUGCCUGAAGCAACUGCUUUGUGCUGUUUUAUAAUAAGAUUUAUGCCUGCCAUCUGCUUUCUGGUUUAUUUGUUUAUGCUUCACAUUCAGGAAUCCCGUGCCCACUGGACCAGAGUGUUUGUUGUCGUUCUGAAAGGCCGGUGUCGUUGAGCCGAUGCUUCCCCUCACAGAAGCCAUGGCUGACUCAUCAACUGCAAGUCUCGCUGCCCUUCUGCAUGUGUUGUAACCGUUGUGGCCUUUGUCACGUUUGCUUCCCAUUUACUG